rnacentral:rRNA from 1 species
UACGUAGGGGGCAAGCGUUGUUCGGAAUCACUGGGCGUAAAGCGCACGUAGGCGGAUUGUUAAGUCAGGGGUGAAAUCCUGGAGCUCAACUCCAGAACUGCCUUUGAUACUGGCGAUCUUGAGUCCGGGAGAGGUGAGUGGAACUGCGAGUGUAGAGGUGAAAUUCGUAGAUAUUCGCAAGAACACCAGUGGCGAAGGCGGCUCACUGGCCCGGUACUGACGCUGAGGUGCGAAAGCGUGGGGAGCAAACAGG